rnacentral:rRNA from 1 species
AGUCGAGUGCGUAGCCCUCGCAAGGGGGUGGGCGCACGGCGCACGGGUGCGUAACACGUGGGCAACCUGCCCUUGGAUGGGGAAUAACUCCGCGAAAGCGGAGCUAAUACCGCAUAACACUCCGGGAACCGUGGUUACCGGAAUCAAAGCCGAAAGGCGUCCGAGGAGGGGCCCGCGCCCGAUUAGGUAGUUGGUGAGGUAACGGCUCACCAAGCCAAUGAUCGGUAGCCGGUCUGAGAGGAUGGCCGGCCACACUGGAACUGAGACACGGUCCAGACUCCUACGGGAGGCAGCAGUGGGGAAUCUUGCGCAAUGGGCGAAAGCCUGACGCAGCGACGCCGCGUGGGGGAUGAAGCUUUUCGGAGUGUAAACCCCUUUCGACCGGGACGAAACGCCCGCAAGGGAAUUGACGGUACCGGUAUAAGAAGCCCCGGCUAACUACGUGCCAGCAGCCGCGGUAAGACGUAGGGGGCCAGCGUUGCUCGGAAUAACUGGGCGUAAAGGGUCUGUAGGCGGUGUGGCAAGUCGGGAGUGAAAUCUCUGGGCUUAACUCAGGGGCUGCUUCCGAAACUGCCGUGCUGGAGUGCGAGAGAGGUGAGUGGAAUUGCAGGUGUAGCGGUGAAAUGCGUAGAUAUCUGC